rnacentral:rRNA from 1 species
AUACGUAGGUGACAAGCGUUAUCCGGAUUUACUGGGCGUAAAGGGCGUGUAGGCGGUCUUGCAAGUCAGAAGUGAAAUUCCUGAGCUCAACUCGGGCGCUGCUUCUGAAACUGCAGGACUUGAGUGCUGGAGGGGAUAGCGGAAUUCCUAGUGGAGCGGUAAAAUGCGCAGAGAUUAGGAAGAACACCGGUGGCGAAGGCGGCUAUCUGGACAGUAACUGACGCUGAGGCGCGAAAGCGUGGAGAGAAAACAGGAUUAGAUACCCGGGUAGUCCACGCCGUAAACGAUGAAUACUAGGUGUAGGGGGUAUCGACUCCCUCUGUGCCGCAGUUAACACAAUAAGUAUUCCGCCUGGGGAGUACGGCCGCAAGGUUGAAACUCAAAUGAAUUGACGGGG